AAAAUGGCCCUUUUCAGGGCCACCAAAUAUUUUGAUAGUCUUAUUU
rfam:Macrostomum lignano uti_cns_0048231, whole genome shotgun sequence.